GUAAACUAGAAAAAUGGUCAGAAUUGUGGCAACUGACAUUUAAUGUGGAUAAGUGCAAGAUAAUGCAUCUUGGACGUAAAAACCCAAGGGCAGAGUACAGAAUAUUUGAUAGAGUCCUAACCUCAACAUCUGAGGAAAGGGAUCUAAGGGUGAUUAUUUCUGAUGACUUAAAUCUAGGCAGACAAUAUAAUACAGCAGCAGGAAAUACUAGUAGAAUGCUUGGUUGUAUAGGGAGAGAUAUUAGCAGUAGAAAGAGGGAAGUGCUAAUGCCAUUGUACAGAACACUGGUGAGACCUCACUUGGAGUAUUGUACACAGUACUGGAGACCAUAUCUUCAGAAGGAUAUUGAUACUUUAGAGAGCUCAGAGAAGGGCUACUAAACUGGUUCAUGGAUUGCAGGAUAAAACUUACAAGGAAAGGAACUUAACAUGUAUAGCUUGGAGGAAAGACGAGACAGGGGUGAUAUGAUAGAAACAUUUAAAUACAUAAAGGCAAUCAACACAGUAAAGGAGGAGACUAUAUUUAAAAGAAGAAAAACUAUCACAACAAGAGGACAUAGUCUUAAAUAAGAGGGGCAAAGGUUUAAAAAUAAUAUCAGGAAGUAUUACUUUACAGAGAGGAUAGUGGAUGAAUGGAAUAGCCUUCCAGCUUAAGUGCUAUAGGUUAACACAGUGAAGGAGUUUCAGCAUGUGCGGGAUAGGCAUAAGGCUAUCCUAACUAUUAGAUAAGGCCAGGGACUAAUGAAAGUAUUUAAAAAAAAUUGGACAGACUAGAUGGGCUGAAUGCUUCUUAUCUGCCAUCACAUUCUAUGAGUCGCUGACAUUAUUUACUCAGUCAGUUGAUGAUGAGCCCAGGAUACUAUUAUUGAGGCUUAGUUGUGUAAGCAUACAAAAGACAAACAUUUUCUGCAGCAUUUUUACGCAAACAAAACAGGAAGAAAAAGUGGCAUGGUAAGUGUGUUCAUUUGCAUGUCUCUAUCCAGAACAUCUGUCUUCACCGACACCUGAAUCCACUCUUUAAGACCCUUGGGAUACAUUGUAAUUCACUUUGAAAUUCCUUCCCAUUUAUGGCUUGGAAAUGAUGAAAAAUCUCUCAAGUGAACAGAACAAUUAAUUCACUUUUAAAAGUUAAAACAGAGAGAGUUUUACCACGUACGGAAAUAGCAAGUCUAUACUGAUAAUUGGAUGUUUGCUUAGAUGGAGCGAGUGCACACAAAAGCAAAUCUUUAGGAGUUGGCAGAGAGCAAUAGGCAGAUGUACUGCAAACCUUUUUACUUACCUUUGUUGAAUUAUUCCCCCCUCAAAAGGCACGGGUAAAGGAACCACCCACAGAGGCUGCAUGAGCCCACAGAUGAGCGGGAGAGCCGGACAACAGAUAAGUAGUACUCACUCGAGUAUAAGCCGAGGGAGGCUUUUUCAGCAUAAAAAAUGUGCUGAAAAAGUCGGCCUUUACUCGAGUAUAUACU